CUGGCCCCUGCUGCACAGAUCUUUAGCUCAUUUAAAGGCUAAUUUGGGGGGGUAUAAUGUUAGCAGUUAAAGCCUGCUGAUUGUCUCCGAUUUGAGUUUUGCUCACUAUGCAAAACGCCCUCCUGGUCUUUCUCAGUGGCCGUCAGCUCUGUGACAGCUCUAUCAUUCCCGUCCUGAAGGAAAAUGAGAGUAUAGCAAACAGAAGUUCUGCUCAGACGACUGUUAGACUGUGGGUGAAAAGUCUGCGAAGCAGCUGGUUUUCAUAUGGGCUGCUGUGUGGGAUUUGACUUCUCUUAACGGAGACAGGCUUUGGGUUUCUGUGUGUCUCGUUUAAAGCAAAACAGGCAAGAAUCAAGCUGGCACCUUUGAGCUCCAGAUAUUUCCUGUCACUUCAGAGUGAGUCUGACGAUGAAGAAUAGGUAUCAUAUAUAUUUAAAAAAAGAGUGUCUUGAAAGCAGCCCAGAUAACUGAAUUUGAUAUUAAGGCUCACGAUGCACAUUUAAGAAGUAAGAGAAGAAGCAGUGAAACCGUCAUCUCAGAGUGAGUCAAACAUGGAAGGGGAGACUAAUUUCCCUCCUAAUUGAGCCACAGGGUUUUUGUUUUGUCAGGAGAUUUUAGUCCAAAUGGAGUCAGAUUCCCGCAGAUCUCCUGGGACGGAGGGAGGGCCGGGCUGUAGUCUGCCAGAGCCUGGAGAUCCCAGCAGUCCCCCCCCCCCCCCGGCUCCUUAAUCCCUGUCAUUAACUCCACUACACAGAGAGAACUAGCUGGCCUGCCAGCCACUACCCUCUCAUCAGCCCCGUCCUUUGUCCCGUGAUUUCUUCCCUUACAUCCUCCCUUUCAUUAGGCUCAUCUCCCGCUUCUUCUUCAUUCUCUCCCGUGUUAUCGUUUCCCACUUUUUCCACAAGGUUUCCUUCCUGUCUCUUCUCUCUGAGUGCAGGUGAAACAUAAUUCUCAAGUGUUUCACCUGCACUAACUCACAUGAAGAAUGACAAGAUGAGGGACUUUAUCAUGCCACAUCUGACCUAUUUUUACAGCUCAGUAAAAACAAGAAGUCUGGGAAUGCAAGACAAAAAAUAAAAUAUUUAUAUUGUCAUCCAAUCAUGACAUCCCUUAAAUAAAUAACUUGCCUCAUGCAGCUAUAAAACAAAUGUGUGACAGAAGCGCCUCAGCAGGAGAGGACAAACUGUCCUAUUAUAGCACAUCCUGUGGUGCUUGCUGUUUUGUCCAUUCACACACACACACACACAGUGCAGUGGGUAGAGAGGGGACGGCCACGGGGGUGGUCCGGGGUCCCGAGAAGGGCCAGGGGAAACACCUUGUGACCCCCCUCCUUGUUCCUGACCAGGCCACUGGAGGUGUGGAGACAACAAGGAUGGACGAGCAGAGGACAAACUGGGUCAGACUGUUGUGUUGGCUCACAUUAGCUGAUCAGAUCUGUACGGCUUUACAGUGGAAAUAAGAAGUUAGAAAUCAUUAGUGAAUGAAGAAAAUUUAAAAUGUCACAACAGAAAUCCUGUCCUCAGUGUGUCAUGUUUUUUUUUAUUUCUUGGCAGGCGUGCGUUAAGGAAGACAAACAGAUGAUAAAUAAACAGCCGGGAUUUUGCUUCUCUGCAGUUUGGCUCAGGCCGGACCGUGUUUGGCUUUUGAUACGGCUGUCAAACACGACCGUCUCCCAGUCACAGACCGCCAGGCUUCUGCCGCUGAUAAACCCUGCACUCCGUUCCAAACAUCCAAGGAAAACUUGGCUUUGAUGGACACACAUGUUCAGUUCGCCGACACACAGUCAACGCGCAAACACUGUCGGACUCACAAUGGACGAAGCAAACCCAUUGUUCCUGGUCAGACGCCUACAUUACCCACAAUGCACCCCGACAGCCGACUGCUCAGUCGGACGUUUGGGUGUAGUAGCUUCUAAUGUAGGCUGAAGAGGCCUGGUAGAAUCGCUUCUUUUAAACUCCACACCUUUUCUCAAACCUCAAACACAACGGAGGCAGACUCAUGUGACAUCACUCGAGGCAGUUCUGAGAUUUCACGCAGGAGCCACAAAAAGCUUCAUAUGACCUUCGUCACACAUACAACAAAGUCAACAUAAAACUUAACGUGCACCUCCCAUUUCAACCCCAAUCCGGGACACAUCAUGGCGUUUGUAAAACCACCCUACCAACAGGUGCGUUGCUCAUUAAGAGAAAAGCGCUGAGAGCGACAGAAAUGAAACAAUGGAGGAGUCUUAUCAGCGCGAACAUUUCUUAUGAUUGGCUGGAGAUCUUUAUUCAGUUCAGUGCUGGGGUCAAGAGGCGGAUGUGGGGAAAAGAUCGCUGACCCCGAGCACAAGGGUUUAACUGGGCAGAUGCAGUGUAGCACAAUGAGUUAUUUACAAGACUUCAUAUUUCACACAGUGAGAAAUCAUUUCAUUCUCAUGCUUAUUUCUGUUUUUUUGUUGUUUAAUCUGUGAAAGUGCAGACGUGCAGAAGCGAAUCGUCCCACCGCAGCAGCAGAUACACAACAGCCAGGAAUCCUCACAUGACCUGCAGUUUCGACCAGACGCUCUGCCAGCGAGCGAAGUCCUCAGCCGGAGCAGCGCCCUCACACAUCUGAGGGACUGGCGCUGGCUCCGUGGCACCGGGGUGCGACGUCGUCUCAUGCUGCAGAGUCGGCACUUAGCAGGCCGAUGUGAAGGGCUGUGGCUCACAGCUAGCGAGAAGACCCGAUGGGAGUCCGGUGUGACUUAAUGUGAUAUUUAUUCCACUUAAAGUGACUUCAGCAGGGACAGUGUGCGCUUAGGGACCAACUUUGUCUCUCAGGUGAUAUCACAUGUGGCCCCCGGGGGCCUCAGCGUGAUUUGUGGGGUCUGCACUGUCGACCACAAAUCAAGGAAAGAGGCUGAGUGGGGGUCUGUGUGCUGCCAUCAAUUUUUACACUUCAAACAAAGCUGAGGUCACAGAUUACACCUUCAAUCACUUAUCUCCACCUCGGACCAGAGUGGAGCUGACAUGCGUCCAUUACAAAUGUCCAUCAGUGACUCCAGUGAACUCCGUCAAGAUGAAUAUCGCCCACCUCAGGCUCUUUGAGAAGACAUGUCUGCUGUUGGGAUGAUAGCAGCGGCUUCUCAUGGAGGAAGUCAAAAUGAAGUGAGGAGCAGUCAGCUGUGGCUGCAGGGACACGUGUGGUCCAACCCUCAGACUCAGUGCAGCUGCAAGGAAAAAGCCACACAAAAUAAGGGAAUGAAAAACAGCCUUGAAUAUAUUUGACUCCUAUUUUAUUUGCAGUGUAAGUAAACUCUGACCUCCAGCUGAUAAUCAGCACCCCCAUAAAACUGACUCAGGAUCAGCGGCAGGACUUUAUCUCGGCACCUAUGAAGACUGCGAUUACCAAGUGAGGAGCUCCUCUGAAGAUACUGAGGACGAAGGUCUAAUCUGACCAUCUGUUUCUUAUCUGCUCGCCUUUAUUUUUUAAAUUUGCUAAUUUAUUUGUCUAAGGGAUAGCAGGGCUGCAAGCAGCAGGCAGCCAAUCCUCUCCCUGGGGAAUGAAGUAGAGCUCCAGGGCUUUGGAUCUGUAGCUGUUAGAGCCUCCUCGGUGUGUCACAGUCCAGCCAGCCACUGCAGACCCACCAGCUGAGAUCCAGAGUCCACAGACCUUCACAGUGCAAUAAUCCACCGCGAGCGUCCAUGUUGCCAGCAUCCAGACUGUAACCGGAUUAUGCAAAGCAGCCGUCAUCCUGAAGGUGUGUAUUCGAUAGUCAGCUGUGACUUCCAUCGGCUGUGGUGCUUUAACUGUUUGAUGACACAGUCCUGAGGGUCACAAUCAAAGGGGCUUUUGAAUUUGAAAGUAUGUGUUUAAAACCAGCAAGAGGAGGAGGAGGAGGAGGUCCCAUCCAGUGUGCUUUAGUUCAUUUUAAUUCACAUAAAACUGUUUUCUACUGUCACAAAACGAGCCCGAUCAGGACUGUCUAUCUGCAGGAGGUAAAGCCAAGCAAACCCCACAUGUUCACUGAAUAAUAGGGUCAUUACCAACAAGUGACUCUUCUGAGGGAUCCUUUGAUUUGACAGUAAUGAGCUCUGUUGGACAUAA